AACCAUCUCCAUUCUCAGAUAUGAUAAGCGUGCAGUGUUUGAUCAAUUAACACAAUUAAAUUUUGAACAGAAAGGAAUCUUCAAUUUUUAGCAUAGGCUGGAAGGGAUUACCAUACUAAACACAAGUAAAAUAGAACAAUAAAACUUAAAGCUGUAGGAUUGAUUGUUUCAAAGUUCAUCAUAGACAUGUGGCACUGGUAUUUCUACUUGUGGAACUGCAUUUCCAUGAGCUGGUGCGUGAUUCAAGCCAUCUCCAACUGCCACUCUCUAGAUUUCCACAGCCACCUCUUCAUGUCCUUUUGAACCUGUCUUGAUAGCUGCAAGCAGCUUCCUCUGCAACUUUAGCAGCCCAACCCGUUUCAACAUAACAUACAGCACCGCGGAUAAGAACAUGAGAAAUCCCGUCACCAGUAUCACUCUGCGAGGAGUAUAGAAAUAAUGCAUGUUAAUUGGAGUUUGGACUAAAAGAAAUCACCAUCCCUUAUCUCCAGUAGCCUUGCUAAAAGCUUCAUCCAAG
rnacentral:lncRNA from 1 species